UACAGAGGGCCCGAGCGUUACGCAGAUUCACUGGGCUCAAAGGGUGCGUAGGCGGAAAUCUAAGUGUCUCGUGAAAUCCCACGGCUCAACCGUGGAAUUGCGGGGCAUACUGGGUUUCUUGAGGCUGGUAAGCGCCGCCGGAACUGUAGGUGUAGCGGUGAAAUGCGUAGAUAUCUACAGGAACGCCGAUGGUGAAGACGGGCGGCUGGGCCAGUUCUGACGCUGAGGCACGAAAGCGUGGGGAUCAAACAGG
rnacentral:rRNA from 1 species